rnacentral:rRNA from 1 species
GGAAUUUUGGACAAUGGGCGCAAGCCUGAUCCAGCCAUUCCGCGUGCAGGAUGAAGGCCCUCGGGUUGUAAACUGCUUUUGUACGGAACGAAAAAGCCUUCUCUAAUCCAGAGGUUCCAUGACGGUACCGUAAGAAUACGCCCCGGCUAACUACGUGCCAGCAGCCGCGGUAAUACGUGGGGUGCAAGCGUUAAUCGGAAUUACUGGGCGUAAAGCGUGCGCAGGCGGUGAUGUAAGACAGGUGUGAAAUCCCCGGGCUUAACCUGGGAACUGCAUUUGUGACUGCAUUGCUGGAGUGCGGCAGAGGGGGAUGGAAUUCCGCGUGUAGCAGUGAAAUGCGUAGAUAUGCGGAGGAACACCGAUGGCGAAGGCAAUCCCCUGGGCCUGCACUGACGCUCAUGCACGAAAGCGUGGGGAGCAAAC